GUGCCUACAAGCGGUCGGAGCAGAUUUAAUCUGUGACGGCGUGCCUUUUGCAUAAUGAUCCUACGAGUUACUCCUCAUUGGCAAGGUUAAGUGUUUAAGACACGGAGCCGAAGCGAAAGCGAGUCUGAAUAGGGCGCUUUAGUCAGUGGGGGUAGACGCGAAACCUUGUGAUCUACCCAUGGGCAGGUUGAAGUUCCAGUAACAUGGAAUGGAGGACCGAACCGAUAAACGUUGAAAAGUUUCCGGAUGACCUGUGGGUAGGGGUGAAAGGCCAAUCAAACUGGGAAAUAGCUCGUACUCCCCGAAAUGCAUUUAGGUGCAGCGUUCAGGUAGAGUUUUAUAGAGGUAGAGCUACUGAUAGGGCUAGGGGGCUUCACCGCCUACCAAACCCUGACAAACUCCGAAUGCUAUAAAAUAUACUGAGCAGUGAGGGCAUGGGUGCUAAGGUCCAUGUCCGAGAGGGAAAGAACCCAGACCAUCAGCUAAGGUCCCCAAAUGUAUACUAAGUUGUGUAAACGUGGUGCGAUUGCAUUGACAGCUAGGAUGUUGGCUUGGAAGCAGCCAUUCAUUUAAAGAGUGCGUAACAGCUCACUAGUCGAGCGAUCGUGCGUGGAUAAUAAGCGGGCAUUAAGUAUACUACCGAAGCUAUGGAUUUCAUAGUAAUAUGGACUGGUAGGGGAGCAUUCUAUUCAGCGUAGAAGGUGCAUGGUGAUGUGUGCUGGAGCGGAUAGAAAAGCAAAUGUAGGAAUAAGUAACGAUAAUGCAGGCGAGAAACCUGCACACCGAAAGACUAAGGUUUCCUGGGCGACGCUAAUCGUCCCAGGGUUAGUCGGGACCUAACGCGAACCCGCAAGGGGUAGUGGAUGGCAAACGGGUUAAUAUUCCCGUACUUGCUUUAACUGCGAUGGGGUGACGGAGUAAUGAAAGGACCGCGUACUGACGGAAUAGUACGUUGAAGAUUGUAGCUAUAGGCUGUAUAGGUAAAUCCGUACGGCUUGGUGAAGAUCGAUAGUACCGAGCGUCUUCGGACAAUUGGAUAGUGUCCCUAAGGGCUUCCUAGAAAAACCUCUAAGCUUCAGGUUAAAGCAACUCGUACCGUAAACCGACACAGGUAGUCGAGGAGAGAAUCCUAAGGUGCUCGAGUGAUUCAUGGCUAAGGAACUAGGCAAAAUGGUCUCGUAACUUCGGGAGAAGAGACGCCACAGCAAUGUGGCCGCAGUGAAUAGACCCAGGCGACUGUUUAUCAAAAACACAUGGCUUUGCAAAAUCGAAAGAUGAAGUAUAAGGCCUGACACCUGCCCGGUGCCGGAAGGUUAAGAGGAGAUGUUAGUUUCGGCGAAGCAUUGAAUUGAAGCCCCGGUAAACGGCGGCCGUAACUAUAACGGUCCUAAGGUAGCGAAAUUCCUUGUCGGG
rnacentral:rRNA from 1 species